rnacentral:rRNA from 1 species
GGGGAUAACGUUCGGAAACGGACGCUGAUACCGCAUACGUCCUACGGGAGAAAGCAGGGACCUUCGGGCCCUUGCGCUAUCAGAUGAGCCUAGGUCGGAUUAGCUAGUUGGUGGGGUAAUGGCUCACCAAGGCGACGAUCCGUAACUGGUCUGAGAGGAUGAUCAGUCACACUGGAACUGAGACACGGUCCAGACUCCUACGGGAGGCAGCAGUGGGGAAUAUUGGACAAUGGGCGAAAGCCUGAUCCAGCCAUGCCGCGUGUGUGAAGAAGGUCUUCGGAUUGUAAAGCACUUUAAGUUGGGAGGAAGGGCAGUUGCCUAAUACGUAACUGUUUUGACGUUACCGACAGAAUAAGCACCGGCUAACUCUGUGCCAGCAGCCGCGGUAAUACAGAGGGUGCAAGCGUUAAUCGGAAUUACUGGGCGUAAAGCGCGCGUAGGUGGUUUGUUAAGUUGGAUGUGAAAUCCCCGGGCUCAACCUGGGAACUGCAUUCAAAACUGACUGACUAGAGUAUGGUAGAGGGUGGUGGAAUUUCCUGUGUAGCGGUGAAAUGCGUAGAUAUAGGAAGGAACACCAGUGGCGAAGGCGACCACCUGGACUGAUACUGACACUGAGGUGCGAAAGCGUGGGGAGCAAAC